AAUGAACGCUGGCGGCGUGCCUAAUACAUGCAAGUCGAACGCUCCACUCCGGUGAAGAGUGGCGAACGGGCGAGUAAUCACUAAAUAACCGGGCAUCUACAGGGGGAUAACUGAUGGCAACGUGAGCUAAGACCGCAUAGGUGUAGAGAUCGCAUGAACUCAAUAUGAAAAGUGCUACGGGACUGGUAGCUGAUGGACUUAUGGCGCAUCAGCUUGUUGGUAGGGUAACGGCCUACCAAGGCGACGAUGCGUAGCCGACCGGAGAGUGUGACCGGCCACACUGGGACUGAGACACGGCCCCGUGUCCCACAGGAGGCACCAGUCGGGAAUUUUCGGCAAUGCGGGAAACCCUGACCGAGCAACGCCGCGCCAAGGAAGAAGUAAUUCGUUGUGGAGACUUCUGUCAUAGUGGAAGAACGGUGGACAUAGAGAAUGGUAUCCAUGUGACGGUACUCUAUAAGGAAUCCACCCCUUACUACGUC
rnacentral:rRNA from 1 species